rnacentral:piRNA from 1 species
UGCCGCCACGAAUUUGCUCUGAACAACUC